CCUACGGGUGGCUGCAGUGGGGAAUAUUGCACAAUGGGGGAAACCCUGAUGCAGCGACGCCGCGUGCGUGAAGAAGUAUCUCGGUACGUAAAGCUCUAUUAGCAGGGAAGAAAAUGACGGUACCUGACUCAGAAGCCCCGGAUAACUACGUGCCAGCAGCCGCGGUAAUACGUAGGGGGCAAGCGUUAUCCGGAUUUACUGGGCGUAAAGGGAGCGUAGGCGGCAGCACAAGUCAGGAGUGAAAUCCCGGGGCUUAACCCCGGAACUGCUUUGGAAACUGUGCGGCUGGAGUGCAGGAGGGGUAAGCGGAAUGUCUGGUGUAGCGGUGAAAUGCGUAGAUAUUAGGAGGAACACCGAUGGCGAAGGCGGCUUACUGGGCUGCAACUGACGUUGAGGCACGAAAGCGUGGGGAGCAAACAGGAUUAGAUACCCGAGUAGUC
rnacentral:rRNA from 1 species